rnacentral:rRNA from 1 species
GACAGAGGGUGCAAGCGUUGUUCGGAAUUAUUGGGCGUAAAGGGCGCGUAGGCGGUUUGGUAAGUCGAAUGUGAAAGCCCAGGGCUCAACCUUGGAAGUGCAUCCGAAACUGCUAAACUAGAAUCCUGGAGAGGGUGGUGGAAUUCCCAGUGUAGAGGUGAAAUUCGUAGAUAUUGGGAGGAACACCGGUGGCGAAGGCGACCGCCUGGACAGAGAUUGACGCUGAGGCGCGAGAGCGUGGGGAGCAAACAGGAUUAGAAACCCGCGUAGUCC